AUCACAUUGCAAAAUGUGUUCCCUGUCAGUACAGCUGUCCCUCUGAGUGGCUGAGGACAUGGAUUUUAUUCCCCUCCAAGCUGCCCGUAGAUCACCACUACUGUACUUCCAUUCCACUUUAUCCUUAUACU